AUGUUGGGUUAAGUCCCGCAACGAGCGCAACCCUUUUCCUUAUUUGCCAGCGGGUUAAGCCGGGAACUUUAAGGAUACUGCCAGUGACAAACUGGAGGAAGGCGGGGACGACGUCAAGUCAUCAUGGCCCUUACGACCAGGGCUACACACGUGCUACAAUGGUAGGUACAGAGGGUUGCUACACAGCGAUGUGAUGCUAAUCUCAAAAAGCCUAUCGUAGUCCGGAUUGGAGUCUGCAACUCGACUCCAUGAAGUCGGAAUCGCUAGUAAUCGCAGAUCAGAAUGCUGCGGUGAAUACGUUCCCGGGCCUUGUACACACCGCCCGUCACACCAUGGGAGUCUAUUGCACCAGAAGUAGGUAGCCUAACGCGCAAGGGAGGGAGCCGUCGAAGGUAGGGUCGAUGAUUGGGGUGAAGUCGUAACAAGGUAA
rnacentral:rRNA from 1 species